AACGAACGCUGGCGGCAUGCCUAACACAUGCAAGUCGAACGAGACCUUCGGGUCUAGUGGCGCACGGGUGCGUAACGCGUUGGAACCUGCCCUUAGGUUCGGAAUAACUCCCCGAAAGGGGUGCUAAUACCGGAUAAUGUCUUCGGACCAAAGAUUUAUCGCCUUUGGAUGGGCCCGCGUUGGAUUAGCUAGUUGGUAGGGUAAAAGCCUACCAAGGCGACGAUCCAUAGCUGGUCUGAGAGGAUGAUCAUCCACACUGGGACUGAGACACGGCCCAGACUCCUACGGGAGGCAGCAGUGGGGAAUAUUGGACAAUGGGCGAAAGCCUGCUCCAGCAAUGUCGCGUGAGUGAUGAAGGCCUUAGGGUUGUAAAGCUCUUUUACCCGGGAUGAUAAUGACAGUACCGGGAGAAUAAGCUCCGGCUAACUCCGUG
rnacentral:rRNA from 1 species